AUUACUUUGGCAGAUUAGUGCAAUUGAUUUAGAAUCAAUGAAUGUGAUUUAUAAUUACAUGUAAUA
rnacentral:tRNA from 1 species